UGUGUCUGACGGUGAGAACAUUGAGCAGCAGAAUCAGGAGAAAUGGGACACCCGGGGUUAGAAUGUGGUGGAGGAACUCGAUUGUGACCCAGACACUGGAGAAUUGAACAGCGCCUGUUACAUCACAAAACCAGGGGGCGUUCCCCAGCCGAUACCGAGCCGUGAGCAUAAAAUACCAGGAAAUGUUCUUUAAACAGCUCAGCACAGUCACUGCUCCCAGAACCACAGCCGCCGUUUUCUCACUGCAAUAUUUACUUUUCAGCUUCUGGCAACAAAUGGCCACAAACCGAUCAAAGGUGAAAGUGACGGUGAACCAGACAGAGCAGUCAGUGGCUGCAUAAAGCAGGACGGCGUGGAUAUUACACACGGGGACGGAGUCCCUCAGGAAAUAAAACUGUUCCUGAUAAACAAUGGGAAUGUGUCUCAGGAUCAGGUCGAGGAUAAUGACCAGGAGAUCCGCCGCUGCCAUGGCCCCCAGGUAUCUGUGUUAGCUGUCUGGAUACAGAAUUGGCUGGCCAGCAGAAGACAACGAGUGGUAGUGGAAGGAAAAUAUUCUGCCUGGAAGGCUGUGGGCCAUAUAAACAUAUCUUCAAAUCGACCGAGACCAUUUUCUGCUCAGGGUAUGGCUCUGUGUAUGACAGCAGCAAUGAUGCAACGACAUGGAACAGGGAAUGUGAUGGAGACAUAGUUUGGACAAUGUACAAGGAGACCUCACAUGGUCCAGUUUGGGAGAGAAUGACAUUAUUGUGUGAUUCAACUCAGAGAGGGAGAAAAUGUCAUCUGCCCGAGAAGAAACGGCCUAUUGCGCACUCUCUCCAUCAUUAUUCCUCAUCACAGUAACAUGUACGAGCUAAAACAAAACUCUCCUGUUGUUACCAUUCUUAUUUUUAUAGAAUCCCUGCAGUGUGGAAACAAGCCCUUCGGCCCAACAAGUCCAUACUAACCCUCCAAAAAGUAACCUUCCCAUGCCCUUACAGUUACCACUGACUAGUGCACCUAAAGAAGAAAUCGCUGAACACUGUGGACUAUUUGACUAAUCCACUUGAAUUAUACAGCUUUGGACUGUGGGGGGAAAUGGGAGCACCCAUCAGAAGCUCACGCAGACAAUGGGAGAAGAUGCAAACUCCACGCAGAUAGUUGCCCGAGGCUGGAAUUGAACUCAUGUCCCUGAUGCUGUGAUGGAACAGCGCGAACUACUGAGCCACUGUGCUAACCUGGAACCUACCGCCAGCCUAAUGCAAAGGGAAUUCAGCCAAAUCCAACUCUCCCAGGAUAAAAUCCCAUUGCUAGCAGCUGUGUGAGCAGAAUAUCUUCAGAAGCAGAAUCACAUUUUGGACAAUCUCGCAAUUUUUCCUUUUGUCAUGAGUUCCAAUAAUAUCUUGUUUAUUUUGUUUGUUGUGUGUGUGUGUGUGUGUGCGCGCGUUUAGAAAGGGAAAUAACGAUUCUAUAUUUGCAAUACCCAAACAGUUUGCCAUUUGUCUUUCCAUCAUAGUUUGAGUAACAUUGCUCUGGAUCAUAAACGUGUUGUUUUAGCCAAUUGGAUCCACAGUUGGCUUGAUGGUAGGAAGCAGAUGGUUUAGUGGAAGGAUGCUUGUCAGACUGGAGGCUGGGUCCAUAGCUGUUUGUUAUCUAUGAUUUGGUUGAGAAUGUACAAGGUAUGAUUUGUAAGUUUGCACUAAAGUAAUUGGGAGCAUGAUCAGUGAGGAAGUUUAUCAGAAAUUGCAGCAGGACCUUAAUCAGGUGGGGAACUGGGCCGAGAAAUGGCAAAUAGAAUUUAAUAUAGAUGCAUGAGGUCUUGCAUUUUGGAAACUCAACUCAAGUAGGAGUUGCACGGCGAAUGGGAGGGCCUUAAGGGGUGUAGUGGGCAGAGAGACCUUGGUAUGCAGGUGCAUGGUUCUCUGAGAGUGGAGUCAGAUGUAGACAGGGCAGUGAAGAAGGCAUUUGACACACUGACCUUCAUCAGGCCGGACAUUGAGUAUGGAAGUUGGGAAUUUAUGUUGCAGUUACACAGGACUUUGGUAAGGCCGCACUUGGAGUAUUGUGUUCAGUUUUUGUCACUUUGUUAUAGGGAACAUUCUAUGAAAUUAGAAAGAGUGCAGAAUAAAUUCACAUGGACGUUGCCAGGACCCAAUGGUCUGAGUUAUAGGGAGAGUUUGGACAAGCUAGUACCUUUCCUAUAGAGUGCAGGAGACUGAGGGGGGACCUUAUAGAGCUGCAUAAAAUCACGAGGGGUAUGGAUAGGGUUAAUGCUGUCAGUCUUUUUCCAAGGUGUAGAGAAUCAAGGAUUAGAGGGGAUCAGUUUAAGGUUAGAGGGGAAGGAAUAAAAGGGAACCUGAGGGGCCAUUUCUUUACACAGAGGCUGGUACGUGGAAGAGAUGCCAGCAGAUGUGGCUGAGGGGGGUACAUUAACAACAUUUCAAAAGCAUUUGGAUAAAUAUGUGGAUAGGAAAGGACUGGAAGGAUAUGGGCCAACUGCAGGGAAAUGGGGUUAGCGUGGAUGGACAUUUACAAGAUGGAGUCGAACCCUUCUGUUAAUUAAACCAAACUUCCAGAAAAGCUCACCUCACCUCGUAAUCUGUUAAAAUAAGAGUGAUACAGAUCUCCUACAUUCCACUGUUUAAACAAACAUUCACAAAUUAGUUUGUUAACUUUAAACAGCAGCUGUUCACAAAUAUAAGCCCCUCUUUUCUUAGCUACUUACUAUCUGUUUCCAACUCUGUAAAUUAUGCUGUUCCCCCAACCCCCAUAUUAAACAUUACAAUCUCAAGACCACACAGUCUCUAUCUUCCCCGCUGCGUUACUCUUCCAGCUGCUGAUCUCCUUGGGUCACAUUUUGUUUUACUGCAAGUAGGUUUGUCAUGAACAUGUAUCUUUGGUAGAGAUGGCCAGUUAGCACUCCUGCUCUGCAGCAGUUACUCUGCUGUUGGAAAGAAGUAGCUCUCUCUAGUGUUCAAAAUGCCGAGUUGAUUUACUCCCCAUGAUACAAUAAUUCUCAUAAUUUGAUUGCUUUCCAGCUGUCCAAACAAUAGUAUUCUAAUUCAGUUGGCUUCUGGUCUCCUGAGCAUUAUUUAAACUACUAAUACGUCAUCCCCACCUGCUUCACUCUAUGCUGUGUCCUCUUCAGGUGCUGUUUAGUUCACUCACCUACUCGGUCUAAUCUCUCCCUCACCUCACAUACAUAAUCCAAGUGUGAGAUCUCCAACUUCCGUCCAGUCAAUUUAGACUUAUUUAAAUUCAAAGGAUUUCGUUUCAUGUACGAAGAUUAACUCAAAGGACGGAAACAGAGUAGAUUUAUUUGGGGCAUCUUCGAUGAUAAGCAAUUUACUGUGACACCUUUAUCCCAAUCAUUUGGCCAAUCCUGACAGUACGCUGUUAACAUAGUCUUCGGUGUCUGAUGCUAACUUUUCAAUGCUCCCUGGGAUUCAGGAUGGGACGCCCUUGAUUUGAAGUGCUGUAUGCCUAAGCUAUCCAUGACUUCCUUAAACUGCUGAGGGGUAAAGUGAGACCCUUGGUCUGACUGAAUCUCUUUGCAGAGCCCACAGCAAGUAAAAAAGCUACAAACUCCUCUACCUCCCUUUUUGCUUUAACACUCCAAUAAUGGAAUUGUCUCUGGAAAUCUGGAAGGCACAUCCAUUAUGGUCAGCAAAUAAUGGUUUUCACUUUUCCAUUAGAAAGGCGAGCUCCACAAUUAAUCUGAACCCACGUGAAGGGUUCUUCGAAUGCAGGAAUUGGCAACAAAGGUGCUGGUUUUUAUUGCCUGUGACCUACCUACCAUUUGGCAUGUCUGACAAGUACAACAAAAAUUAACCACGUUCUUGUGCAUUCCAGGCCACUAGAAAUGCUUCUGCACCUUAGCCUGAGUCUUCCGUAUGCCGAGGUGACCACCUGCAGUUAGUUUGUGUGCUACCCGUAAUAUGGUAUGCUACCAGUCAAGCGAUCUAGUGCAUUUUGGCCCAUUUCCCUCUGCACUUACCUACCGUUUUUCUCCACGUUCAGGUGUUUUCCUGCACCGUGACAUCUCACAGGGUGUCAGUUACCUGAGCAUCAACUCCUUUGUCUUUUUCUUCCGUUUUUCCUUCCUGCUGUAACUUAUGACAGUGGGAUGUUGUUACUGCACAGUCUGGAAAAUUCCUGGGUAUAUUUCUUUUAACUCCUCAGUUCCCUAGUUUUCCUUUGACUUCUCCACCAUAAGAGGUCUCUCCCACCUUGGAUCCUAUUAAAUCGUUCACAAGAACAAACUGUAUUCCUGGGACUGACACUCUGUCACUCACUCUCACUGUUACUUCCCCAAUCCUGAUUUGGCACUCCAAUGUGAUGUUUCUGUCCCCAACCUGAAUUUCUGUCCCAAUUCCACAAAUUAUCACGCUCUUGAGUAACAUGUCAGAAAGAGUGAAAAUCCUUCCAUCUCUUGGUAUUAGGGGCUGAGAGAAAGUGAGGACUGUAAAUGGUGGAGAUCAGAGUUGAAAAGUGUGGGGCUGGAAAAGCACAGCAGAUCAGGCAUUAUCCGGUAGGCAGGAGAGUUGCCGUUUCAGGCAUAAGUCCUUCAUCAGAUAAG